rnacentral:lncRNA from 1 species
CCUUUUUAUAUUCAAAAGCAAACAGAUUGGUUGGGUUUUGCUUAUAUUUCUUUAUUUUAUUUUAUUUCUACUUUUCUAAAAUUUAUUUAUUUAUUUAUUUAUUUGUUUUACUCUAAAGUAUUCUUAUUUAAAGUAUUCUUAUUUUCUGUUAACUUAGAAAGCUCUGAGGGGACGUUUGUCCCUGGAGAUUUCUGAGAAAUAUGUAGAUGUGGUACUUAGGGACAUGUUUAGUGGUCAGUGUUGAUAGAAGGUGGAUGGUUGGACUAGAUUAUCUUUGAGAUCUUUUCCAACAUUCAUGAUUCUAUGUUGAGCUCCACAAAAAGGGCUGUUUGGAGCAGCCUCAUCUUGCCUCUCAUGGGAAGAUGCCCCUCCUGAGACCUUGUAGUGGAUAUGCCAAGUAAUGGCCUGAAACAGUAAUUGAGCACCUGCUGGUAGGCAGGACCAAUCUGUGGGAGCUCAGGUGCAUGUAGUGCCCCUGAACGAAUGACCAGAUGGGGUGGAUCCUGUCUCCUCCCCUUCCCAGACCUCAUCUAUGGGUUUGCAGUGGAGUUGAAAUCAUCUAGCUGAAAUUUCCUGCCUACCUGAAGUCUUCCAAAGGUAAGUGGCUCCUUUACUUCAUUUUUGUGUCCUUGUUUGCUGCAGCCAAGUACUUUGUUACCUUGCUCUACUUUCCAUCACAUUAUGACAUUACAGCCCCUGAUGUCACAAUACUGGUACCUCUACAGUGUGCCAUGGUGCCAGAACAGUGCACAGAAGUGGAUCCAGUAUGCUCAGUGAAGAGCCAUUAUUAGCUGUGGGGAAAAAAAGACUCAAGCAAGCAUUUCAAGUGCUUGGUUGCUGUGUAUGUAUGUGUGUAUGUAUGAAAACAAACCAAAGAUGUGUUUCUGCAUUGGAUUCACUGCUCUCCAGGGAACUGUUGAAGUAUGCAUCAUUGUUUCAAUGA